rnacentral:rRNA from 1 species
UACGGGGGGGGCAAGCGUUGUUCGGAAUUACUGGGCGUAAAGGGCGCGUAGGCGGCCAUCUAAGUCAGACGUGAAAUCCCUCGGCUCAACCGAGGAACUGCGUCUGAUACUGGAAGGCUUGAAUCCGGGAGAGGGAUGUGGAAUUCCAGGUGUAGCGGUGAAAUGCGUAGAUAUCUGGAGGAACACCGGUGGCGAAGGCGGCAUCCUGGACCGGUAUUGACGCUGAGGCGCGAAAGCUAGGGGAGCAAACGGG